AUUGAACGCUGGCGGCAGGCUUAACACAUGCAAGUCGAGCGGUAACAGGGGAGCUUGCUCCUGCUGACGAGCGGCGGACGGGUGAGUAACGCGUAGGAAUCUACCUAGUAGAGGGGGACAACAUGUGGAAACGCAUGCUAAUACCGCAUACGCCCUAAGGGGGAAAGGAGGGGACUUUUCGGAGCCUUCCGCUAUUAGAUGAGCCUGCGUAAGAUUAGCUAGUUGGUAGGGUAAAGGCCUACCAAGGCGCGAUCUUUAACUGGUCUGAGAGGAUGACCAGUCACACUGGGACUGAGACACGGCCCAGACUCCUACGGGAGGCAGCAGUGGGGAAUAUUGGACAAUGGGCGGAAGCCUGAUCCAGCCAUGCCGCGUGUGUGAAGAAGGCCUUAGGGUUGUAAAGCACUUUUCAGGGGUGAGGAAAGGGUAGCUAGUA
rnacentral:rRNA from 1 species